CAGAGCGACUUACAAAUUGGUGCAUUCACCUUAUGACAUCUUAGAAGACCCCUACUCCCCUCAAUGUCUAGAGUGCCUUGGAGGAGCUGUGCAGAGGAGAGAAGGAAGCUGGCGGCUGAGUGGACCCAGUUCCACACCCAGGAGAAGCAGAGGCAGGACCGGGCAGAGCUGGAGGGGGACACCAUCAGCAUGGCACAAGAGCUGGGGAGCUAAAGCAGCAUGAGGCGGCUGUAGCACGGGAGAGGGAGGCUCUGGAGAGACAGGAGGAACUGGACAGGGAAAAGGAGAGGCUGAGUGGUACAGGCCUGCAGCUGAAGACAUGUGCCCAGGAGGUAGAGGCCUUCAGCAAGCUGGCAUCAGAAAAAUAUGAGUGUGAAGGCCCUACAGGAGUCCAGACAUGUGGAGGCUGAGGAGCAUCCACUCCCAGAUGGAGAGACUGAGACAGCAGGAGCAGCACCUUCAUCAGGAGAAUGAAGAUGACUGAGCAGCGUAGAGAAAUGGAGACAAGCACAGCCUCCCAAACACUUCUUUCCCUCAAUCUAUGGCCCCUAUAUUCACAGGUGGGCUGAACCUUUUACAAAACAAAUAUUUUUUGCUGAAUUAACAGCAUAUUUUACAAUAAUUUAAAAGCUGCAGACUUCAGACCAGCAUUGGCAGUACCUCAGAUGGCCUACAAYGCUAUUCGCCAGCCCUCACCCGUUCUCUAGUCCGGAUUCUACAGAGCUCCAGGCCAGAUUGGCCCUGCUCAGGCACACAGUAGAGAAGGAUCGUGACUUUCUGCAGGACGAGCAGUUCUUCCUGGACGCACUCAAGCACCUUACAAUUCAGCCUUUCACACCGAUUAACUGUGGG